GCCCAGACUCCUACGGGAGGCAGCAGUGGGGGAUAUUGCACAAUGGGGGGAACCCUGAUGCAGCGACGCCGCGUGGGUGAAGAAGCGCCUCGGCGCGUAAAGCCCUGUCAGCAGGGAAGAAAAUGACGGUACCUGAAGAAGAAGCCCCGGCUAACUACGUGCCAGCAGCCGCGGUAAUACGUAGGGGGCAAGCGUUAUCCGGAUUUACUGGGUGUAAAGGGGGCGCAGACGGCGAUGCAAGCCAGGAGUGAAAGCCCGGGGCCCAACCCCGGGACUGCACUGGAAACUGCCGGGCUGGAGUGUCGGAGGGGCAGGCGGAAUUCCUAGUGUAGCGGUGAAAUGCGUAGAUAUUAGGAGGAACACCGGUGGCGAAGGCGGCCUGCUGGACGACGACUGACGCUGAGGCUCGAAAGCGUGGGGAGCAAACAGGAUUAGAUACCCCCGUAAUC
rnacentral:rRNA from 1 species